GACGAACGCUGGCGGCGUGCUUAACACAUGCAAGUCGAACGGAAAGGCCCUGCUUUUGUGGGGUGCUCGAGUGGCGAACGGGUGAGUAACACGUGAGUAACCUGCCCUUGACUUUGGGAUAACUUCAGGAAACUGGGGCUAAUAACGGAUAGGAGCUCCUGCUGCAUGGUGGGGGUUGGAAAGUUUCGGCGGUUGGGGCUGGUCUCGCGGCUUAUCAGCUUGUUGGUGGGGUAGUGGCUUACCAAGGCUUUGACGGGUAGCCGGCCUGAGAGGGUGACCGGCCACAUUGGGACUGAGAUACGGCGCAGACUCCUACGGGAGGCAGCAGUGGGGAAUAUUGCACAAUGGGCGGAAGCCUGAUGCAGCAACGCCGCGUGCGGGAUGACGGCCUUCGGGUUGUAAACCGCUUUCGCCUGUGACGAAGCGUGAGUGACGGUAAUGGGUAAAGAAGCACCGGCUAACUACGUG
rnacentral:rRNA from 1 species